GGCAAUGUAUCACCAACUAAAUCCCCACCAAAGAAGAAAACGCCCAAAGCCAAAACUGUGAAAGAAGAACCUGUGACAAGCAUGGCUGGGGAUUCACAGAGUAAAAGUGUCAUCAAAAUGUUGCUGAACAAACCUGCCCAAUUUUCUGAGCCUGUGAUAUCAACACAGACUCUCUCCCAGAUUAAUUCACCAGUGUCAGACAAGAACGUCAAGAAACCAGUCAGGUUAAAAUUGUCCACUGAGAGUACCCCAGUGUCUCAGAUAGGGCCGGCAGGGGAUGCUUCAUAUGGUCAUGCAACACCCACUGCCAUUACUGGUUCUAUGGACACAGGCAGACCAUCCACCUCAAGUGUAGGGAUGGAUAUAAAGAAAAAGAUAAAGAAAACCAAGAGGAAACAGUCAGUGUCAAUUCUUGACGAAGAGGAUGAUGAUGACGAAGAGUAUGAUGAAGAAGAAGAUGAUGAUGACGAUGAUCUGAUGGAGGAUGAUUUGGAUGAUAAUGAUGAUGAGAUGGACUGGGAGUUUGAAACCCAGGAUGGAAACCUCAUUAUUGCUGAUGAAACUCCCAAGAAAAGUACCAAAAAGACACCGCCAAGCAAAAAGAAAGGAAAGAAAGAUGAAAAUCAGUCAAAUUCAGGAGCAGGGAAAGAAAAGAAGGGUCCAAAGGAGAAAAAGAGAAAAAGGUUAACAGCAUACACAAUGUGGUGCAACAGUGUACGCUACAAAGUGCUGAAUGAAAACCCAGGAAUUGACUUUGCACAGCUGAGUAGAAGACUAGGGGAGAUAUGGCAGAGUGUUCCAGCCAAAGAUAAAAUGGCUUGGAAAAGAAAAGCCAAGAGAGAAGCCCGUAAACUGCUGGGGAAAGGCUUGCUGAUAACAACAGGGAAAGGAGGAGGUUCCAGCCAGAGUCAGACCAGUGUCUCUGGGGCCCAAGCCGUACCCAGCAGCUCCACUACUCCACCCCCUAUAUAUCACCCUCCAAUCAGACAUCACUCUGGCAAACAUCACUCAUCCAACAACUCCACUGCUAAUGUGUCUGCUGCCAAGCUACAGGAGGACCAGUCUGGUAGUCCAUCUAAGAUGCUUGGCAUUGAUCCUAUUGAUACGGCAGCACACCUGAAAUUAGUGGGGGAUUCUCUCAGUAUUAUUGGAAUCCGACUGCAAGAACACAGAGGCCUGAUAGCUGUACAGGGCAGUCUGUCUGUCCUGUUGGACUCCCUGCUGUGUGCCGUGGGGCCCCUCAUGUGUCUGACCACACAAGUCCCCGAACUCAACGGAUGCUCUGCAAAAACUCACACCCGUGUUCUGGACAAUAUCGCUUACAUCAUGCCGGGAUUGUAGUUACAAACCAGAACUUAUGAAACUGAUCGUCCAAUAUAUUUAUGUUGUCUACAUGCCUAGGUUGUACUAGAGCUGGCUGCCAUAUUACAUGGAGUCCUCUCCCAAUUUUAAUUUUUUAUUAUUUUUGGAGUCUCCAGUAAAUAUCUGAUUAAAAAAAUCAGAGAGGUUCACAUUAUUGCAGCUAUACAAUACAAUAGAUCAUAAGUAUGUAAAAUUUGUCUAUUAAAACUGAAAUUC
rnacentral:misc_RNA from 1 species